ACAGGGAUGCCCUAGUAACGGCGAGUGAAGCGGCAACAGCUCAAAUUUGAAAUCUGGCGUCUUUGGCGUCCGAGUUGUAAUUUGCAGAGGGCGCUUUGGCAUUGGCAGCGGUCCAAGUUCCUUGGAACAGGACGUCACAGAGGGUGAGAAUCCCGUACGUGGUCGCUAGCCUUUACCGUGUAAAGCCCCUUCGACGAGUCGAGUUGUUUGGGAAUGCAGCUCUAAAUGGGAGGUAAAUUUCUUCUAAAGCUAAAUACUGGCCAGAGACCGAUAGCGCACAAGUAGAGUGAUCGAAAGAUGAAAAGCACUUUGGAAAGAGAGUUAAAAAGCACGUGAAAUUGUUGAAAGGGAAGCGCUUGCAGCCAGACUUGCCUGUAGUUGCUCAUCCGGGUUUUUACCCGGUGCACUCUUCUAUAGGCAGGCCAGCAUCAGUUUGGGCGGUUGGAUAAAGGUCUCUGUCAUGUACCUCUCUUCGGGGAGAACUUAUAGGGGAGACGACAUGCAACCAGCCUGGACUGAGGUCCGCGCAUCUGCUAGGAUGCUGGCGUAAUGGCUGUAAGCGGCCCGUCUUGAAACACGGACCAAGGAGUCUAACAUCUAUGCGAGUGUUUGGGUGUCAAGCCCGAGCGCGUAAUGAAAGUGAACGGAGGUGGGAACCCCUCGGGGUGCACCAUCGACCGAUCCUGAUGUCUUCGGAUGGAUUUGAGUAAGAGCAUAGCUGUUGGGACCCGAAAGAUGGUGAACUAUGCUUGAAUAGGGUGAAGCCAGAGGAAACUCUGGUGGAGGCUCGCAGCGGUUCUGACGUGCAAAUCGAUCGUCAAAUUUGGGCAUAGGGGCGAAAGACUAAUC
rnacentral:rRNA from 1 species